GACCAUGACUUUUGGUGCAGAGAUACACUUAUUUAUGUCAGAGUAGAAUUUCUGGGUCAUAGUGCAGGCGUAUUUAUAGCUUUAAGAGAUAUUGCCAAACAGUUUUUCAAAGUGGUAAUCUUAGUCUGUUUGUGCUGCCAUAACAAAAUGCCUGAGACUGAGUAAUUUAUAAACAACAGGGAUUUAUUUUCUCACAGUUCUAGAAACUGGAAGUCCAAGAUCAAGGCAGCAGCAUUUGGUGUCUGGAGAGGGCCCACUUGCUGUAUCCCUACAUGGUGGUAGGUGGAAGGACAAAAAGGGGCUGAACUCUGUAUGAAGCCUCUUUUAUAAAGGCCUUAAUCCCAUUCUAGACGGUGGAGCCCUCAUAAUUUGACAACCUCCUAAAGUCUCUGCCUCUUAAUACUAUUGUAUUGGAGAUUAAGUUCAACAUGAAUUUUGAAGGGGACACAAAUAUUCAAACCACAGCAAUGACUGAAUUAAUUUACGCUUCCACAAACAAUGUGAGUUUCAAUUGUUCCACAUUCUCACCAAGGUUUGGUGUUAUCAGUUAAAAAAAUUGUAGUCAGGCCGGGUGCAGUGGCUCACGCCUGCUUAUUGGUUUGUGGGAAUUCUUUAUGUAAUUCAGAUAUGAGUUCUUUGUUAGAUACAUGAAUUUUGACUCUUUUCUCCAAGUCUGUGGCUUGGUGAAGCCUUUUAUUUAUUUUUAAAUUAAAUUAAUUUUAAACUUUUUAAAGAAAUGAGAUCUUAUUCUGUUGCCCAGGCUGGAGUGCAGUGGCACAAUCAUAGCUCACUGCAGACUCAAACUCCUGGGCUCAAGUGAUCCUCCUGCCUCAGCCUCCUGAGUAGCUGGGAUUACAGGCAUGUGCCACCAUGCCUGGCCCAAAGUGCUGGUAUUACAGGCAUGAACCACCACGUCAGGCCCUGUUCACUUUUAUAAUCUGUGCUUAGAACAGUACUGGUCAUAUAGUAGGUACUUAAAAAUAUUAUUUGUUUGUUUGUUUGUUUGUUUGUUUGUUUAUUUUGAGACAGAGUUUUGCUCUUGUUGCCCAGGCUGGAGUGCAGUGG
rnacentral:lncRNA from 1 species